UCUGUAUUGGCUUUAGUUAACAUACAAUUGCGUGGAUGCUGGCUAUAAUUUUAAACUAAUACCUAUUUUCUGAUUUUUCAGAGACUAUAAUUAGGGAAAAGGUUACUAGACACCAUAUCCCAGGACCUCUGGCUUUGUACCCACAGCAGAAGUUACUGAACUUGGACUACCAAGGGAUGGCAAAGAAAUGAAGAAGUUGGUAAAUUGCAGCCACUGUGAUCCUUCUGUCGGUGUCCACAGGGGUGAAACACAUGCGAUUGAAGAUCAAAAAGUGCCACACACUUAGCAAGAACGCUAAAGAACUGAGGAGAUGUUGAGAAACCACACCAAUCACAUCCCACGGAAGCAUUUUUCAUUUCUAUCCUUCAGAGUCAGGUGAUGACUAUAUUCCUCCUUAAUGAAGACCCUCUUCUAAGCAAGAAAUGGUACCACUCUCAAGGCGGGCCUCACUCUCCAAAAAAGAUAUUCAGGACUCCCAGAGGAAUCCAACCUAUGGAACUUCACACCCCAAAACUGAGUUUUUGUGUAGAUGACCACAAUUACUUGUACAGAGGCCAUGAUUCAGUAGAAAAGUGAGUUCUCUUCUACAGGAAUACACUUCAUCAGUGAUGUGCUUUGGUGAAUAGAGACUAAAACUGGACCUAGAACCUCUGCUUUAAGAAUUAGAUAACAAAGGAAGGAAUCAAAACUCACGAGGAAAAUCCCUGGCCUCUCCAGUAUUCAGGUAAAGCUUGAUGAAGUCCUUUGUAAAUUUCCCUUUGAAUUUAUCUGCAUAGUGACCCAUAUUUGGGCAUCCUUCUUGCGGGCAUGGAAAACAUUUUCCCUAGUGAAAACAAAUAUAUCUAUUAAUAACAUUGUCCAGCCAGCCAAGAACAAAAAAUUAGUCACAGGAUGUAUUUUUAAUAUACCCCACCUAACUGGCCCUGUAUCACAGCAACAGAUUUCAAGUAACCCUUUCUACGACUUAAGAAAGAUCAUGUGAGCUAGCCAGCUUUCUCAAGUGCUCUGAUUUUUCAGGGCUCUGUGUUGCUUCUUGGGCCAUUUAGCUCAAUCCAGACACAUCAGUGCCAAUCUUGAGAAGUCUUGAACUGGAGCAGGGAGAAGAGGUGUCCUUUCCAGCAACUGAUGAGAAAGAAAGGUGUCUCUUUAUAGCUUCAGGUUGGGUCAAGAAAGGCUUUGUCUUGGAAACAAACCUCGAUUUUGUCGUGAAAGCAGCUUUCUAGUGUGGUGACAGAAGCAGGUGGUCACCUUCUCCCAAAGCAAUCUGAGAAGUGUAAUCUCUGUCACCUGCUAGAACGUGUAAAGGUCGAUCUAAACACUAUGCAAGUUUAUACCUCUGUCUGUGCUACUUGUAGGGUAUGAUGAGCCUGUCACCUUCCUGCUACUCUUAGGCUGUAAUUCUUUGUCUCCAAGUCUGGGACAGGGAAGGGCUUCCUGACCUUGUCCGUCAAGCAUUGCUUUGUC